CGGCGACAACAGCAACUUGGCAAAGGCGCUAAUCAGUCAGCAGAACAGCAACAAAUCUGUCCCUGCGGUCGAUGUGUGUCACUGUGCUGGAUAUCCGACUCGUUGGGUCCUGUGCAUCUAAUCAAUAUUUGGGAAAUGGUAUUGCCACUGCUGGCAGCACUAAUCCCGCGCCAAAUUGAAGCUGACACAGCGUCGGGAAAAUGUCCGAGAAGCGGACAACUUUCGAGCAUCCAGCAGCAGAAGCCGUCCUGUUGCGAAAGUGAAUGCUGUGGUGGCCAAAGUUUCGCAAUGGCCAAUGGCCUUGCCAGAUGCUCGUGCUGUUGGCCAAAUAGGAUUUGAAGGACUACUUUGGCAAACAAGUCCAUGGUCGCAUGACAAAAGGCGACCGCAGCAAGCGGUGGUAAGAAACCGAGCCUUGCUUGCAACUUGCAACACGAGGCUGUCACAGUAGCAACAACAGAACAGCUGCGAUCCAAGCCGCGUUGCAACCAAAAACAUUAAAAAUAUUUUUACAUUUUUUCCAUUUUUUUUUGGGAAAGGAUUUAAAAAAUACAGAAGGAUUCAGUCCCAACAUUCGCAUUAUAAACUAAUUCGUUCAGUGUAAUAGAAGUGUGUACUAAUUUUACUUGUCACUAAGUUACUCAAUUUAUUUAUGUAACCCAGUUCAUUGAAGGACAUCUCAAUAAAAACAGAUCCUUCUCGA